rnacentral:rRNA from 1 species
CUUACCAUGCAAGUCGAACGGUGAACAUGGAGCUUGCUCUGUGGGAUCAGUGGCGAACGGGUGAGUAACACGUGAGCAAUCUGCCCCUGACUCUGGGAUAAGCGCUGGAAACGGCGUCUAAUACUGGAUACGAGUGGCGACCGCAUGGUCAGCUACUGGAAAGAUUUAUUGGUUGGGGAUGGGCUCGCGGCCUAUCAGCUUGUUGGUGAGGUAAUGGCUCACCAAGGCGUCGACGGGUAGCCGGCCUGAGAGGGUGACCGGCCACACUGGGACUGAGACACGGCCCAGACUCCUACGGGAGGCAGCAGUGGGGAAUAUUGCACAAUGGGCGCAAGCCUGAUGCAGCAACGCCGCGUGGGGGAUGACGGCCUUCGGGUUGUAAACCUCUUUUAGCAGGGAAGAAGCGAAAGUGACGGUACCUGCAGAAAAAGCGCCGGCUAACUACGUGCCAGCAGCCGCGGUAAUACGUAGGGCGCAAGCGUUAUCCGGAAUUAUUGGGCGUAAAGAGCUCGUAGGCGGUUUGUCGCGUCUGCUGUGAAAUCCCGAGGCUCAACCUCGGGCCUGCAGUGGGUACGGGCAGACUAGAGUGCGGUAGGGGAGAUUGGAAUUCCUGGUGUAGCGGUGGAAUGCGCAGAUAUCAGGAGGAACACCGAUGGCGAAGGCAGAUCUCUGGGCCGUAACUGACGCUGAGGAGCGAAAGGGUGGGGAGCAAACAGGCUUAGAUACCCUGGUAGUCCACCCCGUAAACGU